GACGAACGCUGGCGGCGUGCUUAACACAUGCAAGUCGAACGGUGAAGCGCCUUCCUUUUUGGUGGGUGUGGAUGAGUGGCGAACGGGUGAGUAACACGUGAGUAACCUGCCCCCUUCUUCUGGAUAACCGCAUGAAAGUGUGGCUAAUACGGGAUAUUCUGGGUCUGUCGCAUGAUGGGUCUGGGAAAGAUAUUGUUUCGGUGGGGGAUGGGCUCGCGGCCUAUCAGCUUGUUGGUGGGGUGAUGGCCUACCAAGGCGGUGACGGGUAGCCGGCCUGAGAGGGUGGACGGUCACACUGGGACUGAGACACGGCCCAGACUCCUACGGGAGGCAGCAGUGGGGAAUAUUGCACAAUGGGCGCAAGCCUGAUGUAGCGACGCCGCGUGAGGGAUGGAGGCCUUCGGGUUGUGAACCUCUUUCGCCAGUGAAGCAGGCCUGCCUCGUUUGUGGGUGGGUUGACGGUAGCUGGAUAAGAAGCGCCGGCUAACUACGU
rnacentral:rRNA from 1 species